rnacentral:rRNA from 1 species
GACGAACGCUGGCGGCGUGCUUAACACAUGCAAGUCGAACGGAAAGGCCCUGCUUUUGUGGGGUGCUCGAGUGGCGAACGGGUGAGUAACACGUGAGUAACCUGCCCUUGACUUUGGGAUAACUUCAGGAAACUGGGGCUAAUACCGGAUAGGAGCUCCUGCUGCAUGGUGGGGGUUGGAAAGUUUCGGCGGUUGGGGAUGGACUCGCGGCUUAUCAGCUUGUUGGUGGGGUAGUGGCUUACCAAGGCUUUGACGGGUAGCCGGCCUGAGAGGGUGACCGGCGACAUUGGGACUGAGGUACGGCCCAGACUGCUACGGGAGGCAGCAGUGGGGAAUAUUGCACAAUGGGGGGAAGCCUGAUGCAGCAACGCCGCGUGCGGGAUGACGGCCUUCGGGUUGUAAACCGCUUUCGCCUGUGACGAAGCGUGAGUGACGGUAAUGGGUAAAGAAGCACCGGCUAACUACGUG